rnacentral:lncRNA from 1 species
AUGGAGCCUGCCUUAGUCCUCAGGUGGAACUGUGCCACUGACACUCUUAGCUACCAGUACCAGCUCAUCAAGCACACAGCACUGACAAUGAGAACAGCAUAUCAAGUACUGGCCAGUCAGUAUGACCCUUUGGGGUUCAUCGUGCCAUUCACAACACGCACCAAGGUGCUCAUCCAGCAGCUCUGGUCCAGGCAGAGAGGAUGGGACGACCCCAACCUACCUUCAGCUCUCCAACAUGCCUGGGAGAUGUGGGAGAAUGAGCUGCAACAUCACAGUGAAGUUUCAUUCCCCCGCUGCUACUUGCCAGUAUCUGUAGCAGACACAAACAUGGUGUAUGACCUACAUGUCUUUUGUGAUGCCUCCGAACGGGCAUAUGGGGCAGUAGCUUACCUCACAGUUUGUGUCGGAGACACCAUUCACUCCACCUUUGUGAUGGCUAGGUCAAGAGUUACCCCUAAGAGACAACAGUCUAUGCCCCGCUUGGAACUCUGUGCUGCAUUAGCUGGAGCUCAACUGUCCAAGCUCAUAGAGACGGAAACAACCCUCACCAUCCAGCAGACAACCCUGUGGUCGGACUCCACUACAGUACUGGAGUGGCUCCAAUCAGACUCUUGCAGAUACAAGGUAUUUGUAGGAACCUGCGUGUCAGAGAUACAAGAGCUGACUGACCGACAGGCUUGGCAGUAUGUCGACACCCAUAACAAUCCUGCUGACGACAUUACCAGGGGUAAGCCACUCUUGGCUCUGGCUGGGCUUAAUCGUUGGAGCCAAGGGCCCCCAUUCCAGAGUGCUGAACACUGGCCAAAGAGGCCGGAGCAAGCGACAGCAGGUUCAUCAGAGUUGAAGGGCACCACCUUCUGCAGCUUCACAGUGGUAGAACCCAAAAUCAGUAUUCCCGAUGCCUCCCAGUUCAACACAUGGAAGGAGCUGGUGGAAGCAACCCAGAAGGCAUGUCAGGGUGCUCAAGGGGCGGCAGUGGAUAGCCAUCCCAUUAGUCACAGAGACGCAGAGAUCCUAUUGUUGAGAGGGUGUCAAGUCCAAAGCUUUCCAGAAGAAGUUAAUGCCCUCACAGCACAAAAACCUGUGCCAAACCACAGUCAUCUGGCCAGCCUUGCUCCAGAGUGGGACUCCUCAACAUGUAUCCUCCGAGUGGGAGGGAGGCUGCGCAGGCUGCAGGACUCGAGCAUAGGAGAGAUUCAUCCCAUUGUGUUGGAUCCGAAGCAACCCGCAACCAAGCUCCUCAUAAAGGACAUGGAUGAACGUCUGUUGCACCCUGGCACAGAGCGGGUGUUUGCAGAACUGCGAAGACAGUACUGGAUCUUGCGAGGACGGCAGGCUGUCAGACACCACCAACUCAACUGCCCAUCCUGCCAGCGAUGGAGAGCUCAGCCAAAGGUCCCAUGGAUGGUCCCACCCUUUUACUCAACAGGUGUGGACUGUUUUGGACCUUACCUAGUCAAGAUUGGUAGGAGAACAGAAAAGUAUUGGGGUAGCAUCUUCAAGUGCCUCACGACCCGUGCUGUUCACAUUGAACUCCUCAACUCCAUGGAUGUGGAUGCCUUCCUCCUUGCUCUUCAUCGGUUCAUCGCCAGACGUGGCCGACCAAAGGAUAUUCUGUCAGACUGCGGUACUAACUUCCGCGGUGCUGCACAGGAACUCCGCAGAGUCUUUGCAGCCAUAGAACCACAGUUGAAAGAACAACUGACAGAAAAUCAGAUUGUCUUCAGGUUCAACCCACCAAACGCUCCUCACUUUGGUGGUGCAUGGGAGAGGGAAGUCCGUUGA